rnacentral:rRNA from 1 species
UACGUAGGGUGCGAGCGUUAAUCGGAAUUACUGGGCGUAAAGCGUGCGCAGGCGGCCUGAUAAGUCAGAUGUGAAAUCCCCGAGCUCAACUUGGGAACUGCGUUUGAAACUAUCAAGCUAGAAUAUGUCAGAGGGGGGUAGAAUUCCACGUGUAGCAGUGAAAUGCGUAGAGAUGUGGAGGAAUACCAAUGGCGAAGGCAGCCCCCUGGGAUAAUAUUGACGCUCAUGCACGAAAGCGUGGGGAGCAAACAGGGUUAGAUACCCUUGUAGUCC